UACGUAGGCAGCGAGCGUUGUCCGGAAUCAUUGGGCGUAAAGCGCGCGUAGGCGGCCAGAUAAGUCCGGUGUGAAAGUCAAAGGCUCAACCUUUGAAUGCCGCUGGAAACUGUCUGGCUAGAGUCCGGGAGGGGCGAGUGGAAUUCCUGGUGUAGCGGUGAAAUGCGCAGAUAUCAGGAGGAACACCAAUGGCGAAGGCAGCUCGCUGGAACGGUACUGACGCUGAGGCGCGAAAGCGUGGGGAGCGAACAGG
rnacentral:rRNA from 1 species